AUUGAACGCUGGCGGCAGGCCUAACACAUGCAAGUCGAACGAGUGGCGGACGGGUGAGUAAUGUCUGGGAAACUGCCCGAUGGAGGGGGAUAACUCCUGGAAACGGUAGCUAAUACCGCAUACCAUCGGAUGUGCCCAGAUGGGAUUAGCUAGUAGGUGGGGUAACGGCUCACCUGGGCGACGAUCCCUAGCUGGUCUGUGAGGAUGACCGGCCACACUGGAACUGAGACACGGUCCAGACGCCUACGGGAGGCAGCGGUGGGGAAUAUUGCACAAUGGGCGCAAGCCGGAUGCGGCCAUGCCGCGUGUAUGAAGAAAACCGUCGGGUUGUAAAGUACUUUCAGCGAGGAGGCGUUACUCGCAGAAGAAGCACCGGCUAACGCCGUGCCAGCCGCCGCGGUAAUUC
rnacentral:rRNA from 1 species